CAUAGCCCUCAGGGAAAGGGAGCUUUGGGUAGGGAGCCAGGUCCUAUUCCAGGAGGUCACCUACUGUGAACAGGAGGCAUCAGGAGCAUCUGAGUAGAGACAAUGUUUGAGAGAACUCUGGGGGCUCCUGAACCUUUGUCCUGUGUCUGUAUCCAUGACUGCUACUUCAGUGCCAUGGUGAUUUCAGGGCUCCAAUGUUGGCCCCCCAAAUGGAAAUGGCACUAUAUGCAUCCUGGUUUGCAAUCAGUGAUUUCUGUUAAGGUAAGAUGUCUGAAGAUAAUAGUGGUAAACAUGAUAGAUUUUUAAAUAGUAGGGUAAUAAGGUGAGGGAGACUUUUGGGGCUGAUGACGAAAGCUCUCCUUGCUUUUUCUGCUGCUCUUUAACCUGGCUCUUUAUGAAAUGAAUCUAAUUACCUU
rnacentral:lncRNA from 1 species